UUAAAGUCUAACCUGCCCACUGAAUUUUUAAAUGGCCGCAGUAUUUUGACUGUGCAAAGGUAGCAUAAUCAUUAGUCUCUUAAUUGGAGGCUGGAAUGAAUGGUUGGACGAAAUAUUAACUGUUUCAUUUAAAUUUUUUAUAGAAUUUUAUUUUUUAGUCAAAAAGCUAAAAUUUAUUUAAAAGACGAGAAGACCCUAUAAAUCUUUAUAUUUUUUUUUAUUUAAAUUAUAAAGAUUAAUUUUAUUUUUAUAUAAAAAAAUAUUUUAUUGGGGUGAUAUUAAAAUUUAAAAAACUUUUAAUUUUUAAAAACAUUAAUUUAUGAAUAAUUGAUCCAUUAAUAAUGAUUAAAAAUUUAAGUUACUUUAGGGAUAACAGCGUAAUUUUUUUGGAGAGUUCAUAUCGAUAAAAAAGAUUGCGACCUCGAUGUUGGAUUAAGAUAUAAUUUUGGGUGUAGCCGUUCAAAUUUUAAGUCUGUUCGACUUUUAAAUUCUUACAUGAUCUGAGUUCAAACCGGUGUAAGCCAGGUUGGUUUCUAUCUUUAAAAAAUUAUAAUAUUUUAGUACGAAAGGACCAAAUAUUAGAAUAAUUAUAUUUUAUAAAUGAAUAUUAUUAAUUAAU
rnacentral:rRNA from 1 species